rnacentral:misc_RNA from 1 species
AACCUAGCACACCUGCGGUGUGUACCUGCGGAAGGAUCAUUACUGAGUGUAAAAACUCCCAAACCCACUGUGAACAUACCACUGUUGCUUCGGCGGAUGCGCCCCGGGCGCGCCCUACAAAGGCGUGCCCCGGAUCAAGGCCACCGCCGGGGGACCGAAACUCUUGUUUUCCUAAGGAUUCUCUGAGUGUGAUUAUUAAAUCAAAUCAAAACUUUCAACAACGGAUCUCAGAUCGGAAGA